AUGUGCAUGUGCAUAAGAUUUUUUAAAAAUCCACCACUGUCUCAGAACUCAGUUUUAACCUUGAAGAAGGAAACCAUGUGUUUUCAAGGAUUCAUAGAUAAUGCAUUAAGGCGUGAGACUCGCAUAGUAACCGUUAUUGUUUGUGGGACAAAUAAGCAUAUUAUGAUGGACCAGAGGCUUUUAGAUAUGUCCACAUUAAUUGUGAUUAUAUUAAUUAUUUCUUUAAAUGUGGAAAAUGUAAUCAUACAGGAGAUAUUUGCUCUCACCUUCCCUUGGCUGAUGCCUCCACUUCCUCCAGGUGUCACUGUGAAAAGAACACAAUGCCCUUUGCCCUUGCCCAUCCCCUUACCACCACUCUCUUUCAUACUACAAAGGUCCUUCUAUGACCCCCUUUCAUGGCACCAAUAUCCAUGACUACAAUAACUUAAAAUUUUAUGUAAUAAGUUGUCUAAGAAGCAUUUCUUUUAUUAUACUCCCUCCUUCAAGAAGUAGUGAUAUCAUUUGAAAAGGUUGUUAAAUAAUUUGGGUUGUUUGUAUAGUUUUCUUAUAUAAAAACCUCAUUUUUAUUUACAGUAAAUUUAGAAAUACAUUUAAAGAUUCUAUUCACUCUCUACUCAGUAAUCCUCGAUAUUCAUAUAGAGCUUUGUAGCCGGCAAGACACUGCAUUAUCUUCCUUAAUUCCUCUGAGAUGAGUCAUAAUCUCAUUUAUUUUAUAGACAAGAGACUGAGGCUCAUAGAGGUUAAGUGACUUGCACAGGAUCAUGCAAAAUGAGGACUCUGAUCAAGCCCCAGUUUUCUUUCUCUAUCACAGCUGCCUCUCUUAAAAAUGGUCUAGUUCAGCAUACAUGUAAAUAUUUGUAAACAUUAUGUCAUUUUUCUGAACUAGUAGAUCUCACUAUUUUUAUUGUUUCAUGAUAUUGGAGCUGUAGAACAAAGUGGACAUUUGCAGAAAUUCAGUCUAUGGUCAUUUUGUAUUCCCUCUGCUUUGAAAUCUUCAUCCUUUGCUAGCAGCAACAUAUUUUUAUAACAAUAAAGAAAGAAAGCAUUUCCUAUUGUCAUCUAAAUUGUUAGCACACCUGGAGUUAUUUUUUUGUAGACUUUCUACUUAUACCAUGAAAUCACAGUACGGCUUCUUAUUUGAAUGUUUGAUCAUCUAACACCUAAUAAUCAUAAACUCAUUGGCCCUAUAAUGGAGUUUCAUCUUUCUUACUGUUUAAAAAUGGUUAGAAAUUAUUUCAUUUGUUAAACAAAAAUCAUAGUAGGGUUAAAUAAGCAUUUCACUCAGGAGAUAAAGAUUGAAAUCUGAAAAUAAGUCACUACUAACUUUAGGCCAAUAAAAAAAGUUUCAUGGAGAUGAUUUUUUUUUUCACGUUCAUUUUCUUAAGUGCAAUACAAAAGCCAGGGAGUGUCAUAUAAAACAAGCCCAAAGCACUUUUUGUACCUAAGCUAAGAAUUGCUUUUGUGGCCUUUGACAUACCAAGGGACUUUAGUAUUAUAAAGCAAGCAUAUGAAGA
rnacentral:lncRNA from 1 species